AGAGCGAACGCUGGCGGCAGGCCUAACACAUGCAAGUCGAGCGCUCCGCAAGGGGAGCGGCAGACGGGAGAGUAACACGUGGGAACGUACCCUUCAGUUCGGAACAACCCAGGGAAACUUGGGCUAAUACCGAAUACGUCCGUAAGGAGAAAGAUUUAUCGCUGAAGGAUCGGCCCGCGUCUGAUUAGCUUGUUGGUGAGGUAACGGCUCACCAAGGCGACGAUCAGUAGCUGGUCUGAGAGGAUGAUCAGCCUCACUGGGACUGAGACACGGCCCAGACUCCUACGGGAGGCAGCAGUGGGGAAUAUUGGACAAUGGGCGCAAGCCUGAUCCAGCCAUGCCGCGUGGGUGAUGAAGGCCCUAGGGUUGUAAAGCCCUUUCGGCGGGGAAGAUAAUGACGGUACCCGCAGAAGAAGCCCCGGCUAACUUCGUGCCAGCAGCCGC
rnacentral:rRNA from 1 species